AUACGGAAGGUCCAGGCGUUAUCCGGAUUUAUUGGGUUUAAAGGGAGCGCAGGCUGAUGAUUAAGCGUGACGUGAAAUGUAGCCGCUCAACGGCUGAACUGCGUCGCGAACUGGUUAUCUUGAGUGAGUUCGAUGUUGGCGGAAUUCGUGGUGUAGCGGUGAAAUGCUUAGAUAUCACGAAGAACUCCGAUUGCGAAGGCAGCCAACAAGGCCUUUACUGACGCUAAAGCUCGAAGGUGCGGGUAUCGAACAGGAUUAGAUACCCUGGUAGUCCGCACGGUAAACGAUGGAUGCCCGCUGUUUGCGAUAUACUGUGAGCGGCCAAGAGAAAUCGUUAAGCAUCCCACCUGGGGAGUACGCCGGCAACGGUGAAACUCAAAUGAAUUGACGGGG
rnacentral:rRNA from 1 species